AACGAACGCUGGCGGCAUGCCUAACACAUGCAAGUCGAACGAGACCUUCGGGUCUAGUGGCGCACGGGUGCGUAACGCGUGGGAACCUGCCUUUAGGUUCGGAAUAACUCAGAGAAAUUUGAGCUAAUACCGGAUGAUGUCUUCGGACCAAAGAUUUAUCGCCUUUAGAUGGGCCCGCGUUGGUUUAGCUAGUUGGGGGGGUAAAGGCCUACCAAGGCGACGAUCCAUAGCUGGUCUGAGAGGAUGAUCAGCCACACUGGGACUGAGACACGGCCCAGACUCCUACGGGAGGCAGCAGUGGGGAAUAUUGGACAAUGGGCGGAAGCCUGAUCCAGCAAUGCCGCGUGAGUGAUGAAGUCCUUAGGGUUGUAAAUCUCUUUUACCCGAGAUGAUAAUGACAGUAUCGGGAGAAUAAGCUCCGGCUAACUCCGUG
rnacentral:rRNA from 1 species